rnacentral:rRNA from 1 species
UACGAAGGGUGCAAGCGUUAAUCGGAAUUACUGGGCGUAAAGCGUGCGUAGGUGGUUUGCUAAGUCUGUUGUGAAAGCCCCGGGCUCAACCUGGGAAUUGCAUUUGAGACUGAAUAGCUAGGGUGCGGAAGAGGGAAGCGGAAUUUCCGGUGUAGCGGUGAAAUGCGUAGAUAUCGGAAGGAACACCAGUGGCGAAAGCGGCUUCCUGGUCCAGCACCGACGUUCAGGCACGAAAGCGUGGGGAGCAAACAGG